GAUGAACGCUGGCGGCGUGCCUAAUACAUGCAAGUCGAGCGAAUGGAUUAAGAGCUUGCUCUUAUGAAGUUAGCGGCGGACGGGUGAGUAACACGUGAGUAACCUGCCCUUGACUCUGGGAUAACUGCGGGAAACUGUAGCUAAUACCGGAUACGACCCUCGGCGGCAUCGCCAGGGGGUGGAAAGAAUUUCGGUCAAGGAUGGACUCGCGGCCUAUCAGCUAGUUGGUGAGGUAACGGCUCACCAAGGCGACGACGGGUAGCCGGCCUGAGAGGGUGACCGGCCACACUGGGACUGAGACACGGCCCAGACUCCUACGGGAGGCAGCAGUGGGGAAUAUUGCACAAUGGGCGCAAGCCUGAUGCAGCAACGCCGCGUGAGGGAUGACGGCCUUCGGGUUGUAAACCUCUUUUAGUAGGGAAGAAGCGAAAGUGACGGUACCUGCAGAAAAAGCACCGGCUAACUACGUGCCAGCCGCCGCCGUAA
rnacentral:rRNA from 1 species